rnacentral:rRNA from 1 species
UUUGGUUAAGUUAGAAAGGGCGCACGGUGGAUGCCUUGACACUAGGAGUCGAUGAAGGACGGGACUAACGCCGAUAUGCUUCGGGGAGCUGUAAGUAAGCUUUGAUCCGAAGAUUUCCGAAUGGGGAAACCCACCAUACGUAAUGGUAUGGUAUCCUUAUCUGAAUACAUAGGGUAAGGAAGACAGACCCAGGGAACUGAAACAUCUAAGUACCUGGAGGAAGAGAAAGCAAAUGCGAUUUCCUGAGUAGCGGCGAGCGAAACGGAACAUAGCCCAAACCAAGAGGCUUGUCUCUUGGGGUUGUAGGACAUUCUAUACGGAGUUACAAAGGAACGAGGUAGACGAAGCGACCUGGAAAGGUCCGUCGUAGAGGGUAACAACCCCGUAGUCGAAACUUCGUUCUCUCUUGAAUGUAUCCUGAGUACGGCGGAACACGUGAAAUUCCGUCGGAAUCUGGGAGGACCAUCUCCCAAGGCUAAAUACUCCCUAGUGAUCGAUAGUGAACCAGUACCGUGAGGGAAAGGUGAAAAGCACCCCGGAAGGGGAGUGAAAGAGAUCCUGAAACCGUGUGCCUACAAAUAGUCAGAGCCCGUUAACGGGUGAUGGCGUGCCUUUUGUAGAAUGAACCGGCGAGUUACGAUCCCGUGCGAGGUUAAGCUGAAGAGGCGGAGCCGCAGCGAAAGCGAGUCUGAAUAGGGCGUUUAGUACGUGGUCGUAGACCCGAAACCAGGUGAUCUACCCAUGUCCAGGGUGAAGUUCAGGUAACACUGAAUGGAGGCCCGAACCCACGCACGUUGAAAAGUGCGGGGAUGAGGUGUGGGUAGCGGAGAAAUUCCAAUCGAACCUGGAGAUAGCUGGUUCUCCCCGAAAUAGCUUUAGGGCUAGCCUUAAGUGUAAGAGUCUUGGAGGUAGAGCACUGAUUGGACUAGGGGUCCUCAUCGGAUUACCGAAUUCAGUCAAACUCCGAAUGCCAAUGACUUAUCCUUAGGAGUCAGACUGCGAGUGAUAAGAUCCGUAGUCAAAAGGGAAACAGCCCAGACCGCCAGCUAAGGUCCCAAAGUGUGUAUUAAGUGGAAAAGGAUGUGGAGUUGCUUAGACAACUAGGAUGUUGGCUUAGAAGCAGCCACCAUUUAAAGAGUGCGUAAUAGCUCACUAGUCGAGUGACUCUGCGCCGAAAAUGUACCGGGGCUAAAUACACCACCGAAGCUGCGGAUUGAUACCAAUGGUAUCAGUGGUAGGGGAGCGUUCUAAGGACAGUGAAGUCAGACCGGAAGGACUGGUGGAGUGCUUAGAAGUGAGAAUGCCGGUAUGAGUAGCGAAAGACGGGUGAGAAUCCCGUCCACCGAAUGCCUAAGGUUUCCUGAGGAAGGCUCGUCCGCUCAGGGUUAGUCAGGACCUAAGCCGAGGCCGACAGGCGUAGGCGAUGGACAACAGGUUGAUAUUCCUGUACCACCUCUUUAUCGUUUGAGCAAUGGAGGGACGCAGAAGGAUAGAAGAAGCGUGCGAUUGGUUGUGCACGUCCAAGCAGUUAGGCUGAUAAGUAGGCAAAUCCGCUUAUCGUGAAGGCUGAGCUGUGAUGGGGAAGCUCCUUAUGGAGCGAAGUCUUUGAUUCCCCGCUGCCAAGAAAAGCUUCUAGCGAGAUAAAAGGUGCCUGUACCGCAAACCGACACAGGUAGGCGAGGAGAGAAUCCUAAGGUGUGCGAGAGAACUCUGGUUAAGGAACUCGGCAAAAUGACCCCGUAACUUCGGGAGAAGGGGUGCUUUCUUAACGGAAAGCCGCAGUGAAUAGGCCCAAGCGACUGUUUAGCAAAAACACAGCUCUCUGCGAAGCCGUAAGGCGAAGUAUAGGGGGUGACACCUGCCCGGUGCUGGAAGGUUAAGGAGAGGGGUUAGCGUAAGCGAAGCUCUGAACUGAAGCCCCAGUAAACGGCGGCCGUAACUAUAACGGUCCUAAGGUAGCGAAAUUCCUUGUCGGGUAAGUUCCGACCCGCACGAAAGGUGUAACGAUUUGGGCACUGUCUCAACCAGAGACUCGGUGAAAUUAUAGUACCUGUGAAGAUGCAGGUUACCCGCGACAGGACGGAAAGACCCCGUGGAGCUUUACUGUAGCCUGAUAUUGAAUUUUGGUACAGUUUGUACAGGAUAGGCGGGAGCCUUUGAAACCGGAGCGCUAGCUUCGGUGGAGGCGCUGGUGGGAUACCGCCCUGACUGUAUUGAAAUUCUAACCUACGGGUCUUAUCGACCCGGGAGACAGUGUCAGGUGGGCAGUUUGACUGGGGCGGUCGCCUCCUAAAGUGUAACGGAGGCGCCCAAAGGUUCCCUCAGAAUGGUUGGAAAUCAUUCGUAGAGUGCAAAGGCAUAAGGGAGCUUGACUGCGAGACCUACAAGUCGAGCAGGGACGAAAGUCGGGCUUAGUGAUCCGGUGGUUCCGCAUGGAAGGGCCAUCGCUCAACGGAUAAAAGCUACCCCGGGGAUAACAGGCUUAUCUCCCCCAAGAGUCCACAUCGACGGGGAGGUUUGGCACCUCGAUGUCGGCUCAUCGCAUCCUGGGGCUGUAGUCGGUCCCAAGGGUUGGGCUGUUCGCCCAUUAAAGCGGUACGCGAGCUGGGUUCAGAACGUCGUGAGACAGUUCGGUCCCUAUCCGUCGUGGGCGUAGGAAAUUUGAGAGGAGCUGUCCUUAGUACGAGAGGACCGGGAUGGACGCACCGCUGGUGUACCAGUUGUUCUGCCAAGGGCAUAGCUGGGUAGCUAUGUGCGGAAGGGAUAAGUGCUGAAAGCAUCUAAGCAUGAAGCCCCCCUCAAGAUGAGAUUUCCCAUAGCGUAAGCUAGUAAGAUCCCUGAAAGAUGAUCAGGUUGAUAGGUUCGAGGUGGAAGCAUGGUGACAUGUGGAGCUGACGAAUACUAAUAGAUCGAGGACUUAACCAUAUAA